ACAUUACGCAGUCAGCAUAUAGUGGGCAGCAGAAGGAGAAGAGCAGGAAGCUUUCCAGAAAAAUAUGAAAACGUGUCUAAAUACUAUUUUUGUUGUCUGAAGAAAGUGCAAAGAAGGUAUUUUUGAUUUUCCACCGUGUUCCUGUUUUGGAGAUGUUUUAUUUUCUCGAACGGGACUUGCUUCAUCAGGUACACUGGCCCAGCUGCUGACAUUCUGGGUUGGCUGGGAGAAGCUUCCUCCUGAACUGAAAGUGGAGACCUCUGGGGGAACCCUUCCUACGUCCGCCACAUGCUUUGAAACACUAAAGCUGCCAGCUCAUUUCAAAGCCUACAUGGACUUCAAUGAAGCACUUUUCUCUGCCAUAAGUAGUGCACAGACUGGAUUUGGACUUGUUGAAGUUUUCAGACAGAUGUCAUUGAAUGCACUGUUCAGUAGGUCAGGUCAAUUGACACAAGUUCAGUGUCUUUGAAAACAUGAAACAUACUGUGCAGUAGUUGAUAAAAUUCAUAAUAUUUUUUCCACUUACUGAAACCAAACAGUUCUGCAUGUUCAGCUUUCAGUGUUAACAGAACAGCAUUCAUGUUAUUCAUUCUGUGGCCAAUAAUGAGACAGGAAGAAAAGGAGUGGAGCUAUGCAUAAAGUGCAUUUACAAGAUCUUAACAAUGAUUAUGGUAGAGCUUCAAAGUAAAACAGCUUUUUAUACCCCUUUUUUUUAAGGAAAGCAAACUUUUUCAGUUUAUGCUUGCUUGUUGUAAGAUGCUAAAUAAAAGCAUAGGUUGGACAUCAGUCUGCUAUGAUUCUUGAUAAAACUUGCACAGUCUCUACAUAUGAUCUAAGUGCAUCAGUUACAGAAGCUCCUGGAGCUGGCAAAAUGGCAACCUCUUCCAGCGAGAGCUCACGGGCCAGCUGAACCUCUGGGACUGACACAGUGCCUCCAUGAAGACUGUGAGGUCCGUUCCAGUCGAUCCCAUAGUCUUCAUAAACCUGAAUGGAGGACAAGCAUGAUCAAUCUUGUACUUGAAACUAGUCUUACACAUCAUUACACAAUUUUUUUUAUAAAACUGAAUAGGCAACAUUUAAUUUCUCAUCAACUUGGUGACCAAAAAUAACAGUCUUAAAUUAGUAGUUAUGCAGAGUAUACACAAUAGAAACUACAGCUCAGAGGUUGAUCUUUGAAAGCUUUAACCUCUGAAGUAAAAUAUUUUCUCCAAUAAUUCCUUUGGAGGAACAGACAUUUAAAAAGUGUUAAAAGCUGAUCUUUCUUUAACCUCAGUAGGAUCCUCCAUAGGGCCUUGCUCUCUGUAUCUUCUCCAGAGUUGCUGUGGUGACUGAUUCCUUUCAGUUCUAAGACCAGGAAAGUUCCAAGCAUCCCUGAAAGAGUCAAGGCUUUGCUGCAUUAGUGGAAGGAAGCUCUGGUGCAGUGCAAAAAGAUGGACUUCAUUGUCUGGAUUCAGUGUUCCCUGAUCUUCCAAUGAAGUGAAGAUCUGAUAGAAGAGGUCCAGGGCAUGUUCAUACACAUCUCUCCACAUCCUUUCUAUUCUGUGUUUAGGAAAAAAAAUGACAAGGUGAUCAUUUGUGUGACAUAUGCGAAAGAAGUACAUUCAACUGGUAUGCCGCUUGUGUGAGCCUAGUUGCCAAACAUAUUUAUUUACCGUUGAUUGUGGACACUUCUGCCUGUGAUGUGCCAAUUCCUGUCGGUACCUCUGCUCCCGAUCAUGAAUUCUGCUACAUCUGCAUUCUCGCCCCCUUUAUCAGACCGUACCCUUGAUGGCAGCCCGUACUGCUCAACAGCAGCGAUAAAGCUCUGUAAGACCGUACUAGCUCUGUUAUUGCCAGCCACAGUCAGGUAGACGACUAAACGACUGAAUCCAUCCACCCAACCAUGGACAACAAAUCUCCACCUGUCAGGCAAUUGUGAACACAAAAAGGUACAACUUUAUUGUAAAACAAUUCUAAUGACAUCUAUAGAAAGAGGAAUUAUUUAUCUGCUAGUAUCACUGACCUGAUGAGCUUAUGAUUGCCAUCUAUAUGCCAUAAAGAGUUUGGGCCAGGAACAGAAUACUGCCGUCGUCUUAAUACACGCAGUCUUAGACGCCUCAUGUAGACUCCCUCUGCAUCAACUCUGCGUAAAGACUCUUGCAGUCUUGAGACUGAGGGGAGGAAAAUAAAAUAAAUAACCAUAAACUCAAUGCCAACUUCAUUAGAAACACCUGUUCAAUAUACUUGACCAGUACUGGAACAACAAAGUACCACUGUGAUUGCCAAGUGUGUGUGCUGCGUUGCCUGGCAACAGACUAAGGGAACCCUUUUUUUUCCGUGGAGCUAUAUAGCUUAACAUAAUUUAUUUCAUCACCCUCUAUUAACAUUUCCUUACUCAGCACUGCUAAAAGCUGUGGUUGAACUUUAGUAUAAAAGCAAUAUCACACGAGAUGUAGUGAUGUUGUACUGUAUAUCGUUAAAUAUUGCCCAUAUUAUACUCACUUGGAACACGCACACCUCUUGCAUUCAGAUGACCACGCAUUAGCUUGUAGCCGGUGUUUGGAUGUCUUCUGUGGACUUCACUCACAAUACGGUCCAACUCCUCAUCAUUCACAGCUGAAUACAGGUCUGUCUUUCUGUACAAACAAAAAACAUUAACAUCGAGUGAUUCACUAAAUGUAAUAUCCUUUCGGAGUGGAUGAGACUGGCAAUUCAUAAACUGAAAACUCAUGAAUUUAAUGUAAAUACCUUAAACCGUAUUGUUGCAUGCGCCUCCUGAUGGUCCUCUGACACUCCGAGCAUCGCUGCAAUUUGACAGGCUGGUAAUCCACAAUGAACGUGAUGUUCCAGAGCAGCCCUCGGUAUGUCAAAUGCCAAACGCCCUGGUCCCUGUGUGUGCUCCUGUUGCACCCUGGUACCAGAAAAGCGGCGAAGUACUUCUUCUAAAUGUGCAGUCACUCUACGGUCAACAUCUUUGUCAGAAAGUGCGGAAAUAACUCCAACAACUUCAAUAAGUUCCUCUGCUUUACACGCUCGGGGUCAGCAGGUCCUGCUUCCACGUACUCUGUAAGGUCUAAGACAUCUCUCACCAACUCUGUAGAAAGUUCACGGAGAUCCUCCAUCAACACAGCCGCCAUGUUUCUACUUUCAGUUUCACGGCAGACCAAAGCAGUGGAUAAGACAAGAUUUGCGUUA